rnacentral:rRNA from 1 species
AUGGCUCAUCCCUCCGGUGUGCCACCCCCCUCUCGAAAACAUCACAUCCCCCUUCUAUCUUGCCUACCAUCCUCCAAAGAAUCGACCCUCCCUUGUUGCAUUAUUGAAACAACAUCGGCGCCUUCCCUGUCCUCCGUGCAUCUAGAUCUGGUACCACAGAGGAUACCUUCAUCCUCUCGAUGGUUAGAUUUGGUCUUCAUGGCAUCCCCAUGUUUAGAUCUGGUCUCAUCGACGACAUGGGAUGCCUGCAUCCUCUCGAUGGCUAGAUCUAGGUGCUCGCUCUUCUCCCGAUCGCCACCGUGGUCAGGUCCGGUCUUCAAUCCUUCCUUCGUUUCCUGGUGGAUUGAUGUGGAAACAACACCGACAAUGAAUGGGAACCCUCCCUCACAUUAUCAACCUCAUUUAUUCUUUCUCGACCACAGGCAAUGCAUAGUUUCAGUGCAAGAAAAAGAUUAUCAAGGAGGAUUAUGGCUAACAAGCUACCACAUCUCCCUUCUAUUUUGCCGACCAUCCUCCAAAGUAUCGAUCAUCCCUUGUUGCGUUGGUGAAACACCGUCAAUGUGUUCCUUGUCCUCCAUGUAUCUAGAUCUAGUACCACAAACAGUUACUAAUGGCCAGAUCUGGUCUCCAUGUCAUCCCCACGUUUAG